UGGGGCGAUCUGUCGCGCCUUCUCCCCCGAGAAGGUGAGGAACGUCCGAGCAACGCAGAGCACCAUACUUCCUAACGGGAAGCUGUCCGCGAGGGUGGAGUAGUGUAACAGAGAAUGACCGCCCUGCCUCAUGCAGGGUAAGGGUGAAAAGGUGAGGUAAGAGCUCACCGAGCCUAUAGCGAUAUAGGCUGCCGUACACCUUAUGGGUUGCAAGAUCAUGUAUACCAGCGCAACGAGGGUUGCUCGCCCCAGCUGGAGGGUAGAUCGCACCGAGGUAGGUGGUGACACCUAUCCCAGAUAAAUGACAGAUACUCUCUAGGGUAAAGCCUAGGGAGGACAGAACUCGGCUUAUAGCCCCACUG
rnacentral:RNase_P_RNA from 1 species